GACGAACCACCCAAACGUUAUUCGGAAUUACUGGGCUUAAAGGGUGCGUAGGCGGUGUAGCAAGUCGGGUGUGAAAUCCCUCAGCUUAACUGAGGAAUUGCGCCCGAAACUGCUGCGCUUGAGGGAGACAGAGGUGAGCGGAACUGAUGGUGGAGCGGUGAAAUGCGUAGAUAUCAUCAGGAACACCGGUGGCGAAAGCGGCUCACUGGGUCUCUUCUGACGCUCAGGCACGAAAGCUAGGGGAGCAAACGGG
rnacentral:rRNA from 1 species